CAAGAUGCCCAAGAGAAAGGUCAGCUCGGCCGAAGGGGCCGUGAAGGAGGAGCCCAAGAGGAGAUCGCGGAGAUUGUCGGCUAAACCUGUUCCAGCUAAAGUGGAAACGAAGCCAAAAAAGGCAGCAGGAAAGGAUAAAUCUUUGGACAAAAAAGUGCAAGCAAAAGGGAAAAGGGGAUCCAAGGGAAAACAGGCUGAAGUGGCUAAUCAAGAAACCAAGGAAGAUUUACCUGCGGAAAAUGGAGAAACUAAAAAUGAGGAGAGUGCAGCUUCUGAUGAAGCAGAAGAAAAAGAAGCCCAGUCUGAUUAA